AUGGCCAAAUGUUUGAUCAGAAACUUGAGAGGGGUAAUCUUGCUUUGGAAAAGAGUAUGCAUCGCGGAAAUGAGGUGAGAGUAAUUAGGGGUGUUAUAGAUGUUACAAAUCCGAGGGGGAAGAUUUAUAUGUAUGAUGGCCUUUACAGGAUCCAGGAAUCAUGGGCAGAGAAAAGCAAAUUGGGGGACUGCAGCAUUUUCAGGUACAAAUUGCUUAGAGUAUGGCCUUUACAGAAUCCAGGAAUCUUGGGCAGAGAAAAGCAAAUUGGGGGACUGCAGCAUUUUCAGGUACAAAUUGCUUAGAGUACCUGGGCAGCCUGAAGCAUUUACAUUGUGGAAAUCAAUUCAGCAAUGGAGGGAUGG
rnacentral:lncRNA from 1 species